rnacentral:tRNA from 1 species
UGGUGUAGCACAACUGGCAGUGCAGCUGAUUUGUAAUCAGCAGGUUGCGGGUUCGAUUCCUGUCGCC